rnacentral:rRNA from 1 species
UACGUAGGGGGCGAGCGUUGCCCGGAAUCAUUGGGCGUAAAGGGCGCGCAGGCGGCCGUGUUGGUCGCGGGUGAAAGCGCUCGGCUCAACCGAGCAGGGUCCCGCGAAACGGCACGGCUCGAGCCAGGCAGGGGGUCGUGGAAUUCCCGGUGUAGUGGUGGAAUGCGUAGAGAUCGGGAGGAACACCAGUGGCGAAGGCGGCGACCUGGGCCUGAAGCUGACGCUGAGGCGCGAAAGCGUGGGGAGCGAUCCGG